UACGGAGGAUCCGAGCGUUAUCCGGAUUUAUUGGGUUUAAAGGGUGCGCAGGCGGGAGAUUAAGUCGGCGGUGAAAUUUUGCAGCUCAACUGUAAAAGUGCCUUCGAAACUGGUUUCCUUGAGUAUAGAUGAAGUAGGCGGAAUUUGUGGUGUAGCGGUGAAAUGCAUAGAUAUCACGAGGAACUCCGAUUGCGCAGGCAGCUUACUAAACUACUACUGACGCUCAGGCACGAAGGCGUGGGGAUCAAACAGGAUUAGAUAACCUGGUA
rnacentral:rRNA from 1 species